UUACAGGCAAAGUAAAUCCAAA
rnacentral:sRNA from 1 species